AGGAGGGCCUCGAAGAGGUGCGGAGCCGGGCCGGUACCGGUGGGCGCCGCGCUCCUGCCCCGGGCCGCAGAUUGAACAAUGAUCCAUGGUUACAUUUUUGUAUGCAUGCAAAACCAAAUUAGCCACAGUUGCCAACCAAUGACAUUAAGUUAGCUGGAAUCCCUGCUCAGGAAGAAAGUAUGUUGACCAGGGUGGAAACAGAAACCACAGGCUGGGGUAGUAAUUCAUUUCAGAUUGCAAAGGAAGUGAAAAACAUUGUUGGGUGCUGCAGACUUUUUGACUACAGCCACGCAGGAUGGAUAAAGAGGCACACACUAAGGCAAAUUCUGGAGAUCACCUGUUUUAGGAUGAAGGACUUG